rnacentral:rRNA from 1 species
GAAGACCUACGGGACGCAGCAGUGGGGAAUAUUGCACAAUGGGGGAAACCCUGAUGCAGCGACGCCGCGUGAGUGAAGAAGUAAUUCGUUAUGUAAAGCUCUAUCAGCAGGGAAGAAAAUGACGGUACCUGAGUAAGAAGCCCCGGCUAACUACGUGCCAGCAGCCGCGGUAAUACGUAGGGGGCAAGCGUUAUCCGGAUUUACUGGGUGUAAAGGGAGCGUAGACGGCAGUGCAAGUCUGGAGUGAAAGGCGGGUG